UGGGGAAUUUUGCACAAUGGGGGAAACCCUGAUGCAGCGACGCCGCGUGAUUUAGAAGGCCUUCGGGUUGUAAAAAUCUUUUUUACGGGAUGAAAAUGACAGUACCGUAAGAAUAAGGUCCGGCUAAAUACGUGCCAGCAGCCGCGGUAAUACGUAUGGACCGAGCGUUGUGCGGAAUCAUUGGGCGUAAAGGGUACGUAGGCGGCCUAGUAAGUUAGAAGUGAAAUAAUAUAGCUCAACUAUAUAAAGCUUUUAAAACUGCUAGGCUUGAGAGAUGGAAGGGAAAGUGGAAUUCCUAGUGUAGCGGUGAAAUGCGCAGAUAUUAGGAAGAAUACCGGUGGCGAAGGCGACUUUCUGGUCAUCAUCUGACGCUGAGGUACGAAAGCGUGGGUAGCAAAUAGG
rnacentral:rRNA from 1 species